CUGAACCAAGCUGUCAAACCCUCCCUGCCCGUCAGCAGUCCCGGUUUUUUUCUUUAGAGCAAACAGCCCAUCUGGCCCCAGUUGCGAUCCACGGGCGAGGUGGCCUCCCCGGAUGCGGGGGCAGGUUGGCUUCAGCUCUGCCGUGCGGAGUGUGGUGGUGGGCUUCUCAUCUGGUCUGCCCCCCACGCCCCCAACCCCGCCACCAAGGAUGGAGCUCACCCUUUCACAAUAAUUAGCUUGACUUUGGGAAAGCCCCCAGCCAAUGCCUGGCACACAACUGGCAUUCAAUAAAUACCAGGUGAGUGAGUGAAUGUUUCCACAAUCUCUCUCAGAGGAAAAACAUGUUCAUGUAACCCGCUUAUCUUUU